rnacentral:rRNA from 1 species
GAUGAACGCUGGCGGCGUGCUUAACACAUGCAAGUCGAACGAAGCACUUUAUUUGAUUUCCUUCGGGACUGAUUAUUUUGUGACUGAGUGGCGGACGGGUGAGUAACGCGUGGGUAACCUGCCUUGUACAGGGGGAUAACAGUUGGAAACGGCUGCUAAUACCGCAUAAGCGCACAGCAUCGCAUGAUGCAGUGUGAAAAACUCCGGUGGUAUAAGAUGGACCCGCGUUGGAUUAGCUAGUUGGUGAGGUAACGGCCCACCAAGGCGACGAUCCAUAGCCGACCUGAGAGUGUGACCGGCCACAUUGGGACUGAGACACGGCCCAAACUCCUACGGGAGGCAGCAGUGGGGAAUAUUGCACAAUGGGCGAAAGCCUGAUGCAGCGACGCCGCGUGAGCGAAGAAGUAUUUCGGUAUGUAAAGCUCUAUCAGCAGGGAAGAUAAUGACGGUACCUGACUAAGAAGCACCGGCUAAAUACGUG